CAUCAAGCGAUUAAGAGCACACGGUGGAUGCCUUGGCACAAGAAGGCGACGAAGGACGUGAUAAGCUGCGAUAAGCCGCGGGAAGGGGCAAAUACCCGACGAUCCGCGGAUUUCCGAAUGGGAAAACCCAGCAGGUUGAAGACCUGUUACCUGCACCUGAAAACAUAGGGUGUAGGGGCCAACCCGGCGAACUGAAACAUCUAAGUAGCCGGAGGAAAGGAAAACAAUUAGUGACUCCCUAAGUAGUGGCGAGCGAACGGGGAAGAGCCCAAACCGAAAGAGUUUCGGCUCUUUCGGGGUUGUAGGACCUGCACACGGUGAUCUGCAAGCAGAAGACGAAGUGGUCUGGAAAGCCACACCAUAGAGGGUGAUAGUCCCGUAGACGUAAAGCGAGCAGCGCCGCAGUGUUCCUGAGUACCACGGGACCGGAGAAAUCUUGUGGGAAUCUGCCAGCACCAUCUGGUAAGGCUAAGUACUCUCUUGUGACCGAUAGUGAACUAGUACCGUGAGGGAAAGGUGAAAAGAACGCCUAGUAGGCGAGUGAAAUAGUACCUGAAACCGUGUGCUUACAACCAGUCGGAGCCCGUAUAUCGGGUGACGGCGUGCCUUUUGCAUAAUGAUCCUACGAGUUACUCUUCACUGGCAAGGUUAAGGCGUUUAGCGCCGAAUCCGAAGCGAAAGCGAGUCUGAAUAGGGCGCACAGUCAGUGGAGGUAGACGCGAAACCAGGUGAGCUACCCAUGGCCAGGUUGAAGCGCGGGUAAGACCGCGUGGAGGACCGAACGGGUGUCUGUUGAAAAAGGCUCCGAUGAGCUGUGGGUAGGGGUGAAAGGCCUAUCAAACUUGGAAAUAGCUCGUACUCCCCGAAAUGUAUUUAGGUACAGCGUCUCUCCAUAGUGUGCCGGAGGUAGAGCACUGAUUGGACGCGGGCCCUUCACCGGGUACCAACUCCAGACAAACUCCGAAUGCCGGACACACGUUCAGAGGCAGUGAGGGCGCGGGUGAUAAGAUCCGUGUCCGAGAGGGAAACAACCCAGAUCGACAGCUAAGGCCCCCAAGUCCAUGCUAAGUUGACCAAAGGAGGUCGGACUGCUUAGACAACUAGGAUGUUGGCUUAGAAGCAGCCAUUCAUUUAAAGAGUGCGUAAUAGCUCACUAGUCGAGCGGUCCGGCAUCGAAAAUGUAUCGGGCAUCAAGCAUGGCGCCGAAGCUUCGGAUUCUACUACGUAGAGUGGUAGGGGAGCAUUCCAGCAGCGCUGAAGCUGAACCGUAAGGUUUGGUGGAGCAACUGGAAGAGAAAAUGUAGGAAUGAGUAACGAUAAGACGGGUGAGAAGCCCGUCCGCCGUAAGCCCAAGGGUUCCUGUUCAACGUUAAUCGGAACAGGGUUAGUCGGGACCUAAGCCGAGGCCGAAAGGCGUAGGCGAUGGCAAACGGGUUUAAUAUUCCCGUACCACCCAAAGGCGUUAACGUGAGGCGUGACGCAGCAGCGUAAGGUCCGCGACCCGACGGAAUGGGUCGUUGAAGUGCGUAGGCUGGAGCGGUAGGCAAAUCCGUUGCUCCUUUAAGGCCGAACCACGACAGUAGGGGGAUCCGAGAGGUGAACCCAUAGUGACCCCAAGCACACUGCCGAGAAAAGCGUCGUACGUUGCCAAGGGUGCCCGUACCGUAAACCGACACAGGUAGGCGAGGAGAGUAUCCUCAGGCGCUCGAGUGAUGCGCGGUCAAGGAACUAGGCAAAUUGGUCCCCUAACUUCGGAAGAAGGGACGCCCUCUUCGGAGGGCCGCAGUGAAAAGGCCCAACCGACUGUUUAGCAAAAACACAGCUCUCUGCCAAGUCGCAAGACGACGUAUAGGGAGUGACACCUGCCCGGUGCUGGAAGGUUAAGGAAGGGGGUUAGCCGUAAGGCGAAGCUCUCGACCGAAGCCCCAGUAAACGGCGGCCGUAACUAUAACGGUCCUAAGGUAGCGAAAUUCCUUGUCGGGUAAGUUCCGACCUGCACGAAUGGUGCAACGAGUUGGGCACUGUCUCGACCGCGCGCUCGGUGAAAUUGUGGUCCCGGUGAAGACGCCGGGUACCCGCAGCGGGACGGAAAGACCCCGUGCACCUUUACUACAGCUUAGCAUUGACUCUGGCCAAAACGUGUGUAGGAUAGGCGGGAGGCUUUGAAGCGGCGUCGCUAGGCGUCGUGGAGCCACCCUUGAAAUACCGCCCUCGUUUUGGUCGGCGCCUAACCCGCUGCCGUUAUCCGGCAGGGGGACAGUGUUAGGUGGGUAGUUUGACUGGGGCGGUCGCCUCCCAAAUUGUAACGGAGGCUCCCAAAGGUGCCCUCAGCACGGUCGGUAAUCGUGCGUAGAGUGUAAAAGCACAAGGGCGCUUGACUGCGAGACAUACAGGUCGAGCAGGUACGAAAGUAGGGUUUAGUGAUCCGGCGGUCCCGUAUGGAAGGGCCGUCGCUCAAAGGAUAAAAGGUACGCCGGGGAUAACAGGCUUAUCUCCCCCAAGAGUUCACAUCGACGGGGAGGUUUGGCACCUCGAUGUCGGCUCAUCGCAUCCUGGGGCUGAAGAAGGUCCCAAGGGUUGGGCUGUUCGCCCAUUAAAGCGGUACGCGAGCUGGGUUCAGAACGUCGUGAGACAGUUCGGUCCCUAUCUGCUGCGGGCGUUGGAGAAUUGAGUGGAUCUGUCUUUAGUACGAGAGGACCGAGACGGACUGACCUCUAGUGUACCAGUUGUGACGCCAGUUGCAUUGCUGGGUAGCUACGUCGGGAAGGGAUAAGCGCUGAAAGCAUCUAAGCACGAAGCCCACCACAAGAUGAGUUCUCCCUUGUAGAUCGUUCUAGAUGAGGACGUUGAUAGGCGGUAGGUGUACGCAUGGCAACAUGUUCAGCCGAGCCGUACUAAUUAUCUACCAGGCUUGAUGCA
rnacentral:rRNA from 1 species